rnacentral:rRNA from 1 species
ACUUAGUUUUGUUGCAGUUUAAAAGCUCGUAGUUGGAUUUCGGGUGGGGUGGUGCGGUCCGCCUCUGGUGUGCACUGCUCCGCUCCACCUUCCUGCCGGGGACGGGCUCCUGGGCUUCACUGUCUGGGACUCGGAGUCGGCGAGGUUACUUUGAGUAAAUUAGAGUGUUCAAAGCAGGCCUACGCUCUGAAUACAUUAGCAUGGAAUAACACGAUAGGACUCUGGCCUAUCUGUUGGUCUGUGGGACUGGAGUAAUGAUUAAGAGGGGUAGUCGGGGGCAUUCGUAUUCCGUUGUCAGAGGUGAAAUUCUUGGAUUUACGGAAGACGAACAUCUGCGAAAGCAUUUGCCAAGGAUACUUUCAUUGAUCAAGAACGAAAGUUGGGGGCUCGAAGA